rnacentral:rRNA from 1 species
GAUGAACGCUGGUGGCGUGCCUAAUACAUGCAAGUCGAGCGAACAGAUAAGGAGCUUGCUCCUUUGACGUUAGCGGCGGACGGGUGAGUAACACGUGGGUAACCUACCUAUAAGACUGGGAUAACUUCGGGAAACCGGAGCUAAUACCGGAUAACAUUUGGAACCGCAUGGUUCUAAAGUGAAAGAUGGUUUUGCUAUCACUUAUAGAUGGACCCGCGCCGUAUUAGCUAGUUGGUAAGGUAACGGCUUACCAAGGCGACGAUACGUAGCCGACCUGAGAGGGUGAUCGGCCACACUGGAACUGAGACACGGUCCAGACUCCUACGGGAGGCAGCAGUAGGGAAUCUUCCGCAAUGGGCGAAAGCCUGACGGAGCAAAGCCGCGUGAGUGAUGAAGGGUUUCGGCUCGUAAAACUCUGUUAUUAGGGAAGAACAAAUGUGUAAGUAACUGUGCACGUCUUGACGGUACCUAAUCAGAAAGCCACGGCUAACUACGUG